GGGCCCGCACAAGCGGUGGAGUAUGUGGUUUAAUUCGAUGCAACGCGAAGAACCUUACCAGGGUUUGACAUCCUGCGAAUCUCUUGGAAACGAGAGAGUGCCUUCGGGAGCGCAGUGACAGGUGGUGCAUGGCUGUCGUCAGCUCGUGUCGUGAGAUGUUGGGUUAAGUCCCGCAACGAGCGCAACCCACGUCUUUAGUUGCCAGCAUUUAGUUGGGCACUCUAGAGAGACCGCCGGUGAUAAACCGGAGGAAGGUGUGGAUGACGUCAAGUCAUCAUGCCCCUUACAUCCUGGGCUACACACGUGCUACAAUGGCCGGUACAGAGGGCAGCCACACCGCAAGGUGGAGCG
rnacentral:rRNA from 1 species